UACGUAGGGGGCGAGCGUUGUCCGGAUUUAUUGGGCGUAAAGAGCUCGUAGGCGGUUUGGUAAGUCGGGUGUGAAACCUCCAGGCUCAACCUGGAGACGCCACCCGAUACUGCCAUGACUUGAGUCUGGUAGGGGACCACGGAAUUCCUGGUGUAGCGGUGAAAUGCGCAGAUAUCAGGAGGAACACCGGUGGCGAAGGCGGUGGUCUGGGCCAGUACUGACGCUGAGGAGCGAAAGCGUGGGGAGCGAACAGG
rnacentral:rRNA from 1 species